CUUGGAAUAGAUUACUGGAGGUAAAGCACUGAAUUGGCUAGGGGCCGAGAGGUUACUGAACCUUAUCAAACUAAGAAUGCCAGAUAAUCGUUUUCCAGGAGUCAGACAGUGGGAGAUAAGUUUCAUUGUCAAAAGGGAAACAGCCCAGACCUACAGCUAAGGUCCCAAAGUAUAGUUAAGUGGAAAAGGAUGUGGAAUUGCAUAGACAACCAGGAUGUUGGCUUAGAAGCAGCCACUCAUUAAAAGAGUGCGUAAUAGCUCACUGGUCGAGUGAUUCUGCGCCGAAAAUUUAACGGGGCUAAACUAUACACCGAAGCUUAGGAUACCGCAAGGUAUGGUAGGAGAGCGUUCUGUACGGAGUGAAGUCGUAGCGAAAGCGGCGGUGGACUGUACAGAAGUGAGAAUGCCGGAAUAAGUAGCGAGAAUUAAGUGAGAAUCUUAAUGGCCGAAAGUCUAAGGUUUUUGGAGGAAGGUUCGUCCGCUCCAAGUAAGUCGGGAGCUAAGGUCAGGCCGAAAGGCGUAGCCGAUGCACAAACGGUUGAUAUUCCGUUACCGUCUACAAUUUAAACAAAGGGACACAUACAAAGCGUUUAACCCGGGCGAUGGUUGACCCGGGCGCAAGGGACUGAAAUAAGAGUAGGGAAGUAAAUGUGGCGUAUGGCGAGAAAAGCUUUGUGUAUAGAAGUAGACGCCCGUACCGCAAACCGACACAGGUGGACAGGAAGAGAAUUCUAAGGCCAGCGGGAGAAGGGUAGUUAAGGAACUCGGCAAAUUGACUCCGUAACUUCGGAAUAAGGAGUGCUCGAAAGAGCCGCAGAGAAUAGGCCCAGGCGACUGUUUAGCAAAAACACAGGUCUCUGCCAAAUCGAAAGAUGAAGUAUAGGGGCUGACACCUGCCCGGUGCCGGAAGGUUAAGAGGAGGAGUGCAAGCUCCGAAUUGAAGCCCCGGUAAACGGCGGCCGUAACUAUAACGGUCCUAAGGUAGCGAAAUUCCUUGUCGGGUAAGUUCCGACCCGCACGAAUGGUGUAACGAUCUGGGCACUGUCUCAACUACCCACCCGGCGAAAUUGUAGUACCGGUGAAGAUGCCGGUUACCUGCGGCAAGACGGAAAGACCCCAUGGAGCUUUACUGUAGCCUGAUAUUGGGUUUCGGAAAUCUAUGUACAGGAUAGGCGGGAGACUGGGAAGUAUGAGCGUCAGCUUAUACGGAGUCAUUGUUGGGAUACCGCCCUUAGGUUUCUGGAAUUCUAACCUGCGACCGUGAAUCCGGUCGGGGGACAUUGUCAGGUGGGCAGUUUGACUGGGGCGGUCGCCUCCUAAAAGGUAACGGAGGCGCUCAAAGGUUAGCUCAGCACGGUCGGAAACCGUGCCUCUGAGUGUAAACGCAAAAGCUAGCCUAACUGCGAGGCUGACGGGCCGAGCAGUAACGAAAGUUGGAGUUAGUGAUCCGGCGGUAUGUGAAUGGAAAUGCCGUCGCUCAACGGAUAAAAGCUACCCUGGGGAUAACAGGCUGAUCUCCCCCAAGAGU
rnacentral:rRNA from 1 species